GGGGAAUAUUGGACAAUGGGCGCAAGCCUGAUCCAGCCAUGCCGCGUGAGUGAUGAAGGCCCUAGGGUUGUAAAGCUCUUUCACCGGUGAAGAUAAUGACGGUAACCGGAGAAGAAGCCCCGGCUAACUUCGUGCCAGCAGCCGCGGUAAUACGAAGGGGGCUAGCGUUGUUCGGAAUUACUGGGCGUAAAGCGCACGUAGGCGGGUAUUUAAGUCAGGGGUGAAACCCCGGAGCUCAACUCCGGAACUGCCUUUGAUACUGGGUACCUAGAGUAUGGAAGAGGUGCGUGGAAUUCCGAGUGUAGAGGUGAAAUUCGUAGAUAUUCGGAGGAACACCAGUGGCGAAGGCGGCUCACUGGUCCAUUACUGACGCUGAGGUGCGAAAGCGUGGGGAGCAAAC
rnacentral:rRNA from 1 species